rnacentral:rRNA from 1 species
UACAGAGGGUGCGAGCGUUAAUCGGAAUUACUGGGCGUAAAGCGCACGUAGGCGGCUUGGUAUGUCGGGUGUGAAAUCCCCGGGCUCAACCUGGGAACUGCAUCCGAAACUGCCUUGCUCGAGUAUGGGAGAGGGAAGUGGAAUUUACGGUGUAGCAGUGAAAUGCGUAGAUAUCGUAAGGAAGACCAGUGGCGAAAGCGAAUCUCUGGGCAGCAGCCGACGCUGAGGCACGAAGGCCAGGGGAGCAAACGGG